rnacentral:rRNA from 1 species
UACAGAGGUCCCAAGCGUUGUUCGGAUUCACUGGGCGUAAAGGGUGCGUAGGUGGUGAGGUAAGUCGGAUGUGAAAUCUCCGAGCUCAACUCGGAAAUGGCAUUGGAAACUACCUUGCUCGAGGGUUGGAGGGGGGACUGGAAUGCUUCGUGUAGCAGUGAAAUGCGUAGAUAUCAAGCGGAACACCAGUGGCGAAGGCGAGUCCCUGGACAACUCCUGACACUGAGGCACGAAAGCUAGGGGAGCAAACAGG